rnacentral:rRNA from 1 species
ACGGUAGUCCUUCGGGAUGAGAGUGGCGAACGGGUGAGUAAUAUAUCGGAACAUAUCCGUAAGUGGGGGAUAACGUAGAGAAAUUUACGCUAAUACCGCAUAUGCCCUGAGGGGGAAAGGGGGGGAUCGCAAGACCUCUCGCUUUCGGAGUGGCCGAUACCGGAUUAGCUAGAUGGUGAGGUAAAGGCUCACCAUGGCGACGAUCCGUAGCUGGUCUGAGAGGACGACCAGCCACACUGGAACUGAGACACGGUCCAGACUCCUACGGGAGGCAGCAGUGGGGAAUUUUGGACAAUGGGCGAAAGCCUGAUCCAGCCAUACCGCGUGAGUGAAGAAGGCCUUCGGGUUGUAAAGCUCUUUCAGCCGGAAAGAAAUCGCACUUUUUAAUACGGAGUGUGGAUGACGGUACCGGAAGAAGAAGCACCGGCUAACUACGUGCCAGCAGCCGCGGUAAUACGUAGGGUGCGAGCGUUAAUCGGAAUUACUGGGCGUAAAGCGUGCGCAGGCGGUUUGAUAAGCCAGAUGUGAAAUCCCCGGGCUUAACCUGGGAACUGCAUUUGGAACUGUCAGACUAGAGUGUAGCAGAGGGGGGUAGAAUUCCACGUGUAGCAGUGAAAUGCGUAGAUAUGUGGAGGAAUACCAAUGGCGAAGGCAGCCCCCUGGGUUAACACUGACGCUCAUGCACGAAAGCGUGGGGAGCAAACAGGAUUAGAUACCCUGGUAGUCCACGCCCUAAACGAUGUCAACUAGUUGUUGGGGGGAGGAGACUUCCUUAGUAACGCAGCUAACGCGUGAAGUUGACCGCUGGGGAGUACGUCGCAAGAUUAA